rnacentral:ncRNA from 1 species
AUUGGUAGAGGUGCAUUUUUAAUGAGUAGAUAUCUGGAUGCGUUCAGGCGCAGAAGAAAGGUAUUGAAAGGGAAAGAUGCCGAAGGUAGAUGGUUCCUGAGACUAUCGUUCCUGGGCACAUAGUUAAUAGCUAUGUGACUGUCAUCAACAAGAUGGAGUGCUACCUAA